CUCAUAGGCCGCUGCGGCAUGUAAUUGCAAAUAUCUAAAUACGUUACAUCCUAAAAAAAAAAAAUAUUUAAAAGAUAAUAGAUAAGUUUACCAAAUAUUUCCACUACUAUAAUAAAAAAUUAUAAUCAUAAUGGAUAACGAUAACCCAUUGUUUUAAAAAUUAUGAAAGCACCAACUUUCACAUAAAUGUAUAUAUAGACGAUUUUUACUAACUACACUGAUAAAUGUAACCAGGGGGGUGAUAUUGGCAUUCAUAUUUAAAGAUAGAUAGAGGUGAAAAAAAAAUAUAAUUCAAAGGUCAAUCUUUUAUUUUACUGAAUUAAAUGAAUAGUAUUCAGUCUAUAAACAAAUUUGAACUUGAUAAAAAAAAAAACUUUUCAAAAUCAAUGAAUAUAAUUUAUGAUACAAUUAAUGUGUAUUAUUUCUGGCAUCAAACAUCCGAAGAAUGUUAAAACACUUUUUAAAGCGUGAAUUACAACAAUUGUAUCAUGAUGACUAAGUUCACGAACCAUACCCCAAUAACCAUGUUUUUCAACUCGUAAACCAUGACGUAGAGCACGGUCUAACCAGUAAACUAGCCAAGAAUCACCAUCUAAUACAACUGUACCAUGUAAACUUUGGGCAUAAACCUGAACAAAAAAUUUUGUUUAUGAUAAAAUAAUUAAUGUUAAUUAUUAAUAGAAAUGUUUUCAUAAAAAUACAGUGACUCACAUUUCAACACACAGGAUAUUUUUUAAUUGUUUAGAAAUAUGUAUUCUACUUAUUGAAAUUGUAUGUUUAAUUAAUGACAAUGAAAUGUAAGACAGUUAUUAACUAUUGAAAUAGAUAAUGCAAAUUUAGAAAAAAUUGCAUAACUUAUCAUAGAUUUUAGGCUAAGUGGAAAGUAUUAAUGGUAAAAUUCUAAAUCAAUACAACAACAAUAAUAAUGACAUCUUAAAUCAUCUGAUAAAGUGAACGGAUGAAAAACAAUAGAGUGAAGUCUCGAAAACUUCUAUUACGACGAAUCUGAAAUUUAAUUGUUAAAAUUAAAG